CGUGCUCCACCUGCUGGGGGCAGAUGAAGUGCACGUGGGUGUCGAUGCCGCCGGCGGUGAGGAUCAGCCCCUCGCCGGCGAUGAUCUCCGUACCGGGGCCGAUGAUCAGGUUCCUGUCCACCCCGUCCAUGAUGGCCGGGUUGCCGGCCUUGCCAAUGCCGCAGAUGCGGCCGUCCCGGAUGCCCACGUCGGCCUUGACGAUGCCCCAGUAGUCAAUGAUGAGGGCAUUGGUGAUCACCACGUCCGGAGUCCCCUGGGCCCGGGUGGCCUCGCCGGACUGGCCCAUGCCGUCCCGGAUG
rnacentral:sRNA from 1 species